GAAAAAUGUCUCAGCAAAAGGCAUGUGUCAAAAUUUUCUUUCUCCAAUUUUUUUGCGAAAAGCUAUCUUAGUUACACAUCUUCUGUUUUGUUCAUGUAGAUCAUAAUGUGCUGCCUUAAUCAAAUGAUCUGUUAGAAAAACAGUUCUGUUACUGGUUGUCUUAUGAGAUUUCUUUUUUAACAAUUUUUCUCUAUGUAUAUACAAUGAUUGUGACCUAAAAAUGUGAAUUUGGACAUAUGACUUGGGAGUUUAUGUUUUGAUAAAAAUUAAAGAAAAAGGGGAACAACUGGUUAGCUAAUGUUGCGAGUGAAAAGAGAUUACUGCAAAGUAGUGAGUUUAGCAAGUAGUGAACCUAUUAUUUUUGAAAAGCAUCUCAAGCAUUUGUAUCAAAGUUGAAGGUUGUUUUACAGAUAUGCAAUUUAUCCACUCCAUCAAAAUAGAUAAACAAAAGUUAUCAAAGACAUGCAAUUUUUUGAUUAUUUGAUGCAUUUAUGAUUUUUCAUAUGCUUUUACAAUUCUCUCAUGCUGUGUCUUAACUGUAGAAGAGCUCAUAUUUGUAAGCUUUUACAUUCCCCUCACAUUGUGCCUUUACCAUGUGUGUGAGAGAGGGAGGGAGGUAGGUCCUUUUAGUGAAAGGAAUUAAAUUGGAACGAUGCUACAACUAUCACGUUGGUGCCAAAAUACAAUUGCAUUUGCACAUAGAUGCACUUGUUGCUGC
rnacentral:misc_RNA from 1 species